CCUACGGGAGGCAGCAGUGGGGAAUAUUGCACAAUGGGGGAAACCCUGAUGCAGCGACGCCGCGUGAGCGAAGAAGUAUUUCGGUAUGUAAAGCUCUAUCAGCAGGGAAGAAAAUGACGGUACCUGAGUAAGAAGCUCCGUCUAAAUACGUGCCAGCAGCCGCGGUAAUACGUAUGGAGCAAGCGUUAUCCGGAUUUACUGGGCGUAAAGGGAGCGUAGGCGGCAUGACAAGUCUGAUGUGAAAUACCGGGGGUCAACCCCGGGGCUGCAUUGGAAACUGGCAGGCUGGAGUGCAGGAGAGGUAGGCGGAAUUCGUAGUGUAGCGGUGAAAUGCGUAGAUAUUAGGCGGAACACCAGUGGCGAAGGCGGCCUGCUGGACGGUGACUGACGCUGAGGCACGAAAGCGUGGGGAGCAAACAGGAUUAGAUACCCCAGUAGUC
rnacentral:rRNA from 1 species